CUUUGGCUAUUGGAGAAUAUGCUGGAGCUUUGGGUGUUGGGGAACAUGCCAGAGCUUUGGGUGUUGGGGAACAUGCCGGAGUUUUGGCUAUUGGAAAACAUGUUGGAGCUCUGACUACUUGAAAACAUGCUGGAGCUCUGAUUAGGGGAAAAGACUGGAGAGCUGUUAUGUACUCCUGAAGAGCUUUUUCCAUUGGAAGAUACUCCUGUAGAACUUUUGCUGGUAGAAAGCACUCCUGUG
rnacentral:lncRNA from 1 species